rnacentral:snRNA from 1 species
GGAUAUGAGGGCAAUCUGGCUGUGACAGAAUUGCCAGGGUUGAUUCGGAUUUGGCUGAUCUGGCUGGCUAGGCUGGCGUUCCCUUCCUUCCUCACUACUCCAAGUGUAUCCCUCCCAACGCUGCUCAGUCAAAGAAGAGGACCACCACGGUCAAGGGUAUAGGAGUAGCUGCACUCCCUUGCUAGAACCUUCAGUCAUUGUACUGAUUUAAUUGCACACCCUUAGUCCCAGCAUCACCCAUUCUAGAUUCAGCCACUUUGGAAAAAGCCCCACCUAU